CCCCUAGAUGUUCUGGGCCGCACGCGCGCUACACUGAACAGUUCAACAAGUCUUAACCUUGGCCGAUAGGUCUGGGUAAUCUUUGAACGCUGUUCGUGAUUGGGAUAGACCUUUGCAAUUAUGGGUCUUCAACGAGGAAUUCCUAGUAAACGCAAGUCAUCAGCUUGCAUUGAUUACGUCCCUGCCCUUUGUACACACCGCCCGUCGCUCCUACUGAUUGGGUGAUCCGGUGAGCUGUUCGGCCAUAGCAAUGUUUCUUGAGCAGGGCAAUGAAUGUUUCGCAAACCUUGCCACUUAGAGGAAGGAGAAGUCGUAACA
rnacentral:rRNA from 1 species